UGGGGAAUAUUGCACAAUGGGGGAAACCCUGAUGCAGCGACGCCGCGUGGAGGAAGAAGGUCUUCGGAUUGUAAACUCCUGUUGUUGAGGAAGAUAAUGACGGUACUCAACAAGGAAGUGACGGCUAACUACGUGCCAGCAGCCGCGGUAAAACGUAGGUCACAAGCGUUGUCCGGAAUUACUGGGUGUAAAGGGAGCGCAGGCGGGAAGACAAGUUGGAAGUGAAAUCUAUGGGCUCAACCCAUAAACUGCUUUCAAAACUGUUUUUCUUGAGUAGUGCAGAGGUAGGCGGAAUUCCCGGUGUAGCGGUGGAAUGCGUAGAUAUCGGGAGGAACACCAGUGGCGAAGGCGACCUACUGGGCACCAACUGACGCUGAGGCUCGAAAGCAUGGGUAGCAAACAGGAUUAGAUACCCUGGUAGUCCAUGCCGUAAACGAUGAUUACUAGGUGUUGGAGGAUUGACCCCUUCAGUGCCGCAGUUAACACAAUAAGUAAUCCACCUGGGGAGUACGACCGCAAGGUUGAAACUCAAAGGAAUUGACGGGGGCCCGCACAAGCAGUGGAGUAUGUGGUUUAAUUCGAAGCAACGCGAAGAACCUUACCAGGUCUUGACAUCCGAUGCAUAGUGCAGAGAUGCAUGAAGUCCUUCGGGACAUCGAGACAGGUGGUGCAUGGUUGUCGUCAGCUCGUGUCGUGAGAUGUUGGGUUAAGUCCCGCAACGAGCGCAACCCUUAUUGCCAGUUACUACGCAAGAGGACUCUGGCGAGACUGCCGUUGACAAAACGGAGGAAGGUGGGGAUGACGUCAAAUCAUCAUGCCCUUUAUGACCUGGGCUACACACGUACUACAAUGGCGUUUAACAAAGAGAAGCAAGACCGCGAGGUGGAGCAAAACUCAAAAACAACGUCUCAGUUCAGAUUGCAGGCUGCAACUCGCCUGCAUGAAGUCGGAAUUGCUAGUAAUCGCGGAUCAGCAUGCCGCGGUGAAUACGUUCCC
rnacentral:rRNA from 1 species